GGGAACUUGUUCCGGCAAUCCACGAGGGAGGUAAGUCCCCUUUUCAGUGACUAUUGCAAAAAGGGUGCACUCGCGGAAUAAAUAAAGGAUCGAGGCAAGACCAUAAGCGCCAUUGCAACAACCGCAGUGAGACCACAGCGAGCGCUCCAGCAAAAGAGCAGCAAUAGCGACACUCCAACGCUCCACCGCGGGAGCGACAAUACAACUAGGCCCCCACCAAGUGGUCCACCGCGGGAGCAACAAUACAACUAGGCCCCCCACCAAGUGGUCCACCGCGGGAGCAACAAAAAUACAACUAGGCCCCCCACCAAGUGGCCCACCGCGGGAGCACAGCAUACUUCGAGGCCCCCACCAAGUGGUCCACCGCGGGAGAAAUAACCACAACAGUUUUCGAUAACAGUAAGCUGCAUGAAAAGGUAACCCUUUGAGAUUCGCCACGUAUAUUCAAGUCGGGCGCGAUUUGAUUUAAUUUGCGGUGAACUGAUACACGGUGAAAGUACCGGAAUCACAUCAAUUUAGUGAAAAAAAAAAA